rnacentral:rRNA from 1 species
AUACGGAGGGUGCAAGCGUUGUUCGGAAUCACUGGGCGUAAAGGGCGCGCAGGCGGUUUGGUAAGUCAGGUGUGAAAGCCCACGGCUCAACCGUGGAAGUGCAUUUGAAACUGCCAGACUUGAGUACCAGAGGGGAAAGUGGAAUUCCCGGUGUAGAGGUGAAAUUCGUAGAUAUCGGGAGGAAUACCGGUGGCGAAGGCGACUUUCUGGCUGGAUACUGACGCUGAGGCGCGAAAGCGUGGGGAGCAAACAGGAUUAGAAACCCUUGUAGUCC